rnacentral:rRNA from 1 species
GUGGGGAAUAUUGGACAAUGGGGGGAACCCUGAUCCAGCCAUGCCGCGUGUGUGAAGAAGGCCUUUUGGUUGUAAAGCACUUUAAGCGAGGAGGAGGCUACCGAGAUUAAUACUCUUGGAUAGUGGACGUUACUCGCAGAAUAAGCACCGGCUAACUCUGUGCCAGCAGCCGCGGUAAUACAGAGGGUGCGAGCGUUAAUCGGAUUUACUGGGCGUAAAGCGUGCGUAGGCGGCUUUUUAAGUCGGAUGGGAAAUCCCCGAGCUUAACUUGGGAAUUGCAUUCGAUACUGGGAAGCUAGAGUAUGGGAGAGGAUGGUAGAAUUCCAGGUGUAGCGGUGAAAUGCGUAGAGAUCUGGAGGAAUACCGAUGGCGAAGGCAGCCAUCUGGCCUAAUACUGACGCUGAGGUACGAAAGCAUGGGGAGCAAACAGGAUUAGAAACCCGGGUAGUCC